GCGCCUUAUUGCAUUUUGUUGCCAACAUCUUAGAGUACAAAAUUAUAACUUCAUGGUACAUAAAAUUGGAAAAAGAAAAGAGAAAAUACAAUAUUUGGUGCAUGCAUUAAAAACCAAUGACAACUCCUCGAAUAUUCUAUCAAAAGUAUAAUCUACGAUUAUUUUGCUAGAUCAGAAACUCAUUCAUCUCACUGGGCUCUGUAGGCACUGGCCUUUACGACACCUAGCAAUAUAAUUUCUCACUUGUCGACAAUCUUUAUUUGUUAUACAAUUUCGAGAAGUUGGUAAAAAGGCAAAAUCACAUACUAUUAUGGCAUUAAAUAUUGAAAUAAAUAAAAUCAAA
rnacentral:lncRNA from 1 species